GUUGAACGCUGGCGGCAUGCCUUACACAUGCAAGUCGAACGGCAGCACGGGAGCAAUCCUGGUGGCGAGUGGCGAACGGGUGAGUAAUAUAUCGGAACGUGCCCAGUGAUGGGGGAUAGCCCGGCGAAAGCCGGAUUAAUACCGCAUACGACCUACGGGUGAAAGCAGGGGAUCGCAAGACCUUGCGUCAUUGGAGCGGCCGAUAUCAGAUUAGCUUGUUGGGGGGUAAAAGCCUACCAAGGCGACGAUCUGUAGCUGGUCUGAGAGGACGACCAGCCACACUGGGACUGAGACACGGCCCAGACUCCUACGGGAGGCAGCAGUGGGGAAUUUUGGACAAUGGGCGCAAGCCUGAUCCAGCCAUGCCGCGUGCGGGAAGAAGGCCU
rnacentral:rRNA from 1 species